rnacentral:rRNA from 1 species
GGAGUUUGGGCCGUGUCUCAGUCCCAAUGUGGCCGUUCACCCUCUCAGGCCGGCUACUGAUCGUCGCCUUGGUGGGCCGUUACCUCACCAACAAGCUAAUCAGACGCGGGUCCAUCAUGUACCACCGGAGUUUUUCACACUGUACCAUGCGGUACUGUGCGCUUAUGCGGUAUUAGCACCUAUUUCUAAGUGUUAUCCCCCUGUACAUGGCAGGUUACCCACGCGUUACUCACCCGUCCGCCACUAGGUAUCAACAAGAACUUACUCUUAGCAAGCUAAUCGCUCGUUCAGCGUCAAUACCCCGUUCGACUUGCAUGUGUUAAGCACGCCGCCAGCGUUCAUC